rnacentral:rRNA from 1 species
AGAGUUUGAUUAUGGCUCAGGAUGAACGCUAGCGAUAGCCUAACACAUGCAAGUCGAGGGGCAGCACAUGAAGUAGCAAUACGGAUGGUGGCGACCGGCGCACGGGUGAGUAACGCGUAUGCAACCUGCCUACAACAGGGGAAUAACCCGUUGAAAGACGGACUAAUACCCCAUAACACAGGGAUCCCGCAUGGGAAUAUUUGUUAAAGAUUUAUCGGUUGUAGAUGGGCAUGCGUUCCAUUAGCUGGUUGGUGAGGUAACGGCUCACCAAGGCAACGAUGGAUAGGGGAACUGAGAGGUUUAUCCCCCACACUGGUACUGAGACACGGACCAGACUCCUACGGGAGGCAGCAGUGAGGAAUAUUGGUCAAUGGACGCAAGUCUGAACCAGCCACGUCGCGUGAAGGAAGACGGCCCUACGGGUUGUAAACUUCUUUUGUAAGGGAAUAAAGUGCAGUACGUGUACUGUUUUGCAUGUACCUUACGAAUAAGGAUCGGCUAACUCCGUGCCAGCAGCCGCGGUAAUACGGAGGAUCCGAGCGUUAUCCGGAUUUAUUGGGUUUAAAGGGUGCGCAGGCGGGAGAUUAAGUCGGCGGUGAAAUUUUGCAGCUCAACUGUAAAAGUGCCUUCGAAACUGGUUUUCUUGAGUGUGGAUGAAGUAGGCGGAAUUUGUGGUGUAGCGGUGAAAUGCAUAGAUAUCACGAGGAACUCCGAUUGCGCAGGCAGCUUACUAAACCAUAACUGACGCUCAGGCACGAAGGCGUGGGGAUCAAACAGGAUUAGAUACCCUGGUAGUC